GAGGCGAACCGGGGGAACUGAAACAUCUAAGUACCCCGAGGAAAAGAAAUCAACCGAGAUUCCGAAAGUAGCGGCGAGCGAAAUUGGACUAGCCCUUAAGCUUUACACGCGUUAGACGAACGGUCUGGAAAGUCCGACGAUACAGGGUGAUAGUCCCGUAGUUGACGACGUGUGUUCAGUGAAAUCGAGUAGGGCGGGACACGUGAUAUCCUGUCUGAAUAUGGGGGGA
rnacentral:rRNA from 1 species